GAUGAACGCUGGCGGCGUGCCUAAUACAUGCAAGUCGAGCGAACAGACGAGGAGCUUGCUCCUCUGACGUUAGCGGCGGACGGGUGAGUAACACGUGGAUAACCUACCUAUAAGACUGGGAUAACUUCGGGAAACCGGAGCUAAUACCGGAUAAUAUAUUGAACCGCAUGGUUCAAUAGUGAAAGACGGUUUUGCUGUCACUUAUAGAUGGAUCCGCGCCGCAUUAGCUAGUUGGUAAGGUAACGGCUUACCAAGGCAACGAUGCGUAGCCGACCUGAGAGGGUGAUCGGCCACACUGGAACUGAGACACGGUCCAGACUCCUACGGGAGGCAGCAGUAGGGAAUCCUCCGCAAAGGGCGAAAGCUUGACGGAGCAACGCCGCGUGAGUGAUGAAGGUCUUCGGAUCGUAAAACUCUGUUAUUAGGGAAGAACAAAUGUGUAAGUAACUAUGCACGUCUUGACGGUACCUAAUCAGAAAGCCACGGCUAACUACGUG
rnacentral:rRNA from 1 species